GACGUAGGGGGCGAGCGUUAUUCGGAAUCAUUGGGCGUAAAGAGUUCGUAGGCGGUUUGAAAAGUCCGUAAAGAAAGACCUGGGCUCAACUCAGGGAACGGUACGGAUACUUUUGAACUUGAGGCAAUCAGAGGGUGAUGGAAUUCCUGGUGUAGCGGUGGAAUGCGCAGAUAUCAGGAGGAACACCGGUGGCGAAGGCGGGGUCUC
rnacentral:rRNA from 1 species